rnacentral:rRNA from 1 species
CCUAUGGGUCGUAAACUUCUUUUAUACACCAAGAAAAACAUCCACGUGUGGGGUGCCCGACGGUAGUGUAUGAAUAAGCAUCGGCUAACUCCGUGCCAGCAGCCGCGGUAAUACGGAGGAUGCAAGCGUUAUCCGGGAUUCAUUGGGUUUAAAGGGUGCGUAGGCGGCUUUUUAAGUCAGUGGUGAAAUCUUGCCGCUUAACGGUAAAAUUGCCAUUGAUACUGACAAGCUUGAGUCCAGUUGAGGUAAGCGGAAUGUGUAGUGUAGCGGUGAAAUGCUUAGAUAUUACACAGAACACCGAUUGCGAAGGCAGCUUACUAAACUGGUACUGACGCUGAUGCACGAAAGCGUGGGGAGCGAACAGGAUUAGAUACCCUGGUAGUCCACGCCGUAAACGAUGAUCACUCGCUGUAUGCGAUACACAGUAUGCGGCCAAGCGAAAGCAUUAAGUGAUCCACCUGGGGAGUACGAUCGCAAGGUUGAAACUCAAAGGAAUUGACGGGGGCCCGCACAAGCGGAGGAACAUGUGGUUUAAUUCGAUGAUACGCGAGGAACCUUACCUGGGCUUAAAUGGGGAACGACAGCUGCCGAAAGGUGGCCUUCUUCGGACGUUCUUCAAGGUGCUGCAUGGUUGUCGUCAGCUCGUGCCGUGAGGUGUCGGGUUAAGUCCCACAACGAGCGCAACCCUUAUCGUUAGUUGCCAGCGGGUCAAGCCGGGGACUCUAGCGAGACUGCCACCGUAAGGUGUGAGGAAGGUGGGGAUGACGUCAAAUCAGCACGGCCCUUAUGUCAGGGCUACACACGUGUUACAAUGGCCGAUACAAAGGGCAGCUACCAGGUGACUGGAUGCUAAUCUCUAAAGUCGGUCUCAGUUCGGAUCGAAGUCUGCAACCCGACUUCGUGAAGCUGGAUUCGCUAGUAAUCGCAUAUCAGCCAUGAUGCGGUGAAUACGUUCCCGGGCCUUGUACACACCGCCCGUCAAACAAUGGAAGCUGGGGGUACCUGAAGUCUGUAACCGCAAGGAGCGGCCUAGGGAAA